UGCGUCUGAUUAGCUUGUUGGCGGGGGUAACGGCCCACCAAGGCUACGAUCAGUAGGGGUUCUGAGAGGAAGGUCCCCCACAUUGGAACUGAGACACGGUCCAAACUCCUACGGGAGGCAGCAGUGAGGAAUAUUGGUCAAUGGGCGAGAGCCUGAACCAGCCAAGUAGCGUGCAGGAAGACGGCCCUAUGGGUUGUAAACUGCUUUUAUGUGGGGAUAAAGUGCGUGACGUGUCAUGCAUUGCAGGUACCACAUGAAUAAGGACCGGCUAAUUCCGUGCCAGCAGCCGCGGUAAU
rnacentral:rRNA from 1 species